UGGGGAAUAUUGGACAAUGGGCGCAAGCCUGAUCCAGCCAUGCCGCGUGUGUGAUGAAGGCCUUAGGGUUGUAAAGCACUUUCGCCGAUGAAGAUAAUGACUGUAGUCGGAGAAGAAGCCCCGGCUAACUUCGUGCCAGCAGCCGCGGUAAUACGAAGGGGGCUAGCGUUGUUCGGAAUUACUGGGCGUAAAGCGUACGUAGGCGGAUUGUUAAGUGAGGGGUGAAAUCCCGAGGCUCAACCUCGGAACUGCCUUUCAUACUGGCAAUCUUGAGGCCGGGAGAGGUGAGUGGAACUCCUAGUGUAGAGGUGAAAUUCGUAGAUAUUAGGAAGAACACCAGUGGCGAAGGCGGCUCACUGGCCCGGAACUGACGCUGAGGUACGAAAGCGUGGGGAGCAAACA
rnacentral:rRNA from 1 species